rnacentral:rRNA from 1 species
GUAUUAACCAGUCAAAGGAACUCGUUUUUUAAUCGACAUUACUCGUUAAAUUUCACUUAAUUUACACAAGUUUAUAUACCGCCGUAAAAUUAACUUACAAAUACAAUUAUUCCCCUCCUCUCCCAACUUCAGGUCAAGGUGUAGCUAAUAUUUAAGUAAAAAUAAGUUACAAUAAAAGCAAUUUAUCGACCAUUACACAAAUUUACACUAAAAAAGGAUUUGCACACAAUNUUUUAAUAAUAUUGUAACAUGAAUAGACGUUUAAC